AAAAAGUAAAAUGCAGCGUCCGAUGGGCCGGAAGCGUUGCAGGUCUUUUCGUACGGAAGCAUGAACACAGGAGAUGAAGGAACAUGAGCAAAAAACGAAUGUAGACAAAGACAGCGAUUCAAAUAGAAAUUGUAUUUGCUAUUACUAUUACUAUUUAACAGUUCUUUACUAAACUAUCGCUAUUUUAUUGUUAUCGCUAUUGUCAUUGUCAUUGCUAUACUGCUCUUUGUCUACUGGGGGCAUCAAGGAUCCUAACCCCCAUUCUUCAAAUCUCUGUCUGGGCUAGGGCAGGCACCAAUAACUAGGAUAAAGACUAAGACUAAGACUAAGACCAGAUAAUCCAUCGAAGGAUAUAGCGUUGUAUAGUGUGGUGUAAUGCAAUACGAUGGAUUCCAAGCUAUCAGUCGGAUCAAAGUUUUAGAUGAGAGGAAGCGAUGAAAAGAAAAGAAGAAAGAGAAGGAGAAA